rnacentral:lncRNA from 1 species
AAUGUUCCAAUUAGCUUGAAAGCCUUCAGCAUUAUUCACAUUAUGAAUAUAUAUAAUUAUAAAUUAUAAAUAUAUACAAGAGAUUAAUUUCAAAAUUUUGUGCGUGAAUGGGCACAAGGCACAAAUUAAACAGACCUAGCUACAACAACAUGUAAGCAAAUAUAUAUAAUUAUAAAUGUUCCAAUUAGCUUGAAAGCCUUUAGCAUUAUUCACAUUAUGAAUAUAUACAAGAGAUUAAUUUCAAAAUUUUGUGCGUGAAUGGGCACAAGGCACAAAUUAAACAGACCUAGCUACAACAACAUGUAAGCAAAUAUAAUAUAACGAUUUUAAUUAAAUUGAACUAAUCAUGAAAACCUACACCGAAUGGUGAGCUAAUUUCUCACCA